ACUCCUACGGGAGGCAGCAGUGGGGAAUCUUGCACAAUGGGGGCAACCCUGAUCCAGCGACGCCGCGUGUGUGAAGAAGGCCUGCGGGUUGUAAAGCACUUUUAGUGGGGAUGAAAAGCACAUUACUAACACUGGUGUGUCUUAACCUAACCCAAAGAAAAAGCACCGGCUAACUCUGUGCCAGCAGCCGCGGUAAU
rnacentral:rRNA from 1 species